GCAGUGCAGAGCAUAUACUCUCUCCUCUCCAUCAUAAUCAGUGAGAGAAACAAGACAACACAGCUCCAAGACGAUACAGCGAGAGAGAGAGAGAGAGAGAGAAGAGAAUGAAGGAGGAGGUAAUAAGCUCUUCAGGGGAUCCAUUGUUGGGCCCCAAAUCAUCAUCUUCUCCACCUCCAACCCCAACCCCAACCCCAACCCCAACCCCGGCUGCUAGUUCUGCAGGGGCAUCAUCUCCUGUCUUGCAGGUGAAUGCUGGAAGUAUUGAUUGGUUGGGUCUUGGACAGGGUUCCAAGGCAGGUUCACAUUCUGGAAUUGGUUCACAGCCCCUGUGGACUUCAUUGAGCACAACUGCUCGUGGUUCUGCCAUUGGGUCAUCGCAACCUUCAUGCAGACCAUGGGAAAGGGGGGAUUUACUAAAGCGUCUUUCUACGUUCAAGCCAGCAAAUUGGUUUGGAAAGCCAAAGGCUGCCAAUUCUUUGGCUUGUGCCAGAAGAGGCUGGGUAAAUGUUGAUGUUCAUAAGAUUGAGUGCAAGUCAUGUGGUGCAAACCUGCAGUUUUUUUCAUCAGCUUCCUGGACGCCUACAGAAGCUGAUAGUGCUGUGGAAGACUUUGCCAAACAGCUAGAUGCUGGCCACAAAGGCACUUGUCCGUGGAGAGGAAACAGCUGUGCAGAAAGCUUGGUGCAGUUUCCUCCUACUCCGGCAUCCGCUCUUAUUGGAGGUUAUAAGGAUCGGUGUGAUGGACUCUUGCAGUUUCUCUUCCUCCCAGUUGUGGCUGCUUCUGCAAUUGAGCAGAUGCGAGUUUCUAGAGGUUCAGAAAUUGACCGCUUUCUUGUUCACUCUCAGUCUCUCACAGCUGGGGAAUCUGGCUUCAAGGCGGAGAAUAUCUCUGGAAUGGGAAACACCAGAGAAGAGACCUUCUGUAUAUACUCUCAUGCUCAGAAGCUGAUAAGUUUGUGUGGAUGGGAACCGAGAUGGCUUCUAAAUGUUCUGGACUGUGAAGAACAUUCUGCUCAAUCAGCUAGGAAUGGAUGUUCAAAUGGUCCUACCAGAGAUCAUGGUCGACUGCAAGAUGCUGGUCCUAGCAAGAAAUCAUUCUCUGCUUCAACCAGAAAGGAUUCUGGAAAGAAUAAGGUACUUGGUCCCAAGUCUAAAUGUGAAUCUAGGUCACCCUUAUUAGAUUGUAGCUUAUGUGGAGCUACAGUCAGAAUCUGGGACUUUCAGACUGUAUCUCGUCCUGCUCGGUAUGGUCCCAGUAGCAUAGAUAUUCCUGAAACAAGCAAGAAAAUGGCAUUGACACGUGGAGUAAGUGCUGCCAGUGGAAUCAGUGGUUGGGUUGCUGCUGAUGGUAUGGACAAAGAGCAGACGGAGGACCAUGAUGGAACUGGAACAGCAGAUGACAGGAAGUCACAGUCAAAUGUUAGGGUGGAUUUAAAUCUAACUAUGGGUGGUGGGUUAUCCUCUACACAGUUGCACAUGACAGUGAUGUCUGAACAAUAUGACGUUAAUAUGGGAAGAGAUCUAAUAAUUGGGCAGCCUUCCAGCAGUGAGGUUGGUGACCGUGCAGCUUCAUAUGAAUCACGAGGUCCCAGUACACGUAAACGGAACUUGGAUGAAGGUGGAAGUACUGUUGACAGGCCGCAUAUAAUGAUGCAACAGGCCGACAGCAUUGAAGGAAUUGUCAUUGACCGUGACGGUGAUGAAGUUGAUGAUGAUAGACAGUACUCAGCUGGACCCUCAAAGCGUGCCCGUGACUUAGAUGCUUUUGAAACUUAUCAUUCAUCAUAUAGGAGAGAUUCAUCUGGUGCUGGUCCUAGCCAUUCAGUGGGUUUUGACAUAGAAACAGAUGCUCAUAAAGUUGAUACUUUUCACCAGGGAAAUGAAACAAUUAUUGGUAUCCCGUCCGCAAGAGAUUCAACACGUGUCUCCUCUGUUAUUGCAAUAGACACAAUCUGUCAUGGUGCAGAUGAUGAUUCUAUGGAAAGUGUUGAAAACUAUCCCGGAGUGGUCGACGAUGCCCAUUUCCCCUUGACAACGAUGUUUCAGAAUCCAGAUUUGAAUGAUGCAUCAGAAUUGAACUACAGCAAUCAAGCACAACAUAGUACCUGUCCAGCUGCCUUGAGAAGUACUGGAGAAAUGGGUGUUAGCAGCACAAAUGAUGGUGAGGAAGUAUUAAACACAGAUACCACAACUGCUCAUGGGAUGGAUGGGCCUAGCUUUGGCAUCAGCGGAGGAAGUGUUGGAAUGGGUGCUAGUCAUGAAGCUGAAAUCCACGGGACUUCUGUCCAUAGGGUGGAUAGUGUUGUUGGUGAUGUGGAACCAAUUGCUGAAGUCACUGAUAAUCAAGGUCAAACAGGUGAAUUUGCUCCAGAUCCUGGGCUAAUGGGUGAUUUUGUUCCUGAAGAAAUGGAGCGAGAGGAUCCUCAUGGUGACAGUCAAGAUUUGCUGUUUCGAUUUGUCAGAAAGGCAGAUAGUGGGUCAAAGAUUGUUGGUUCUGUGAAGGCUGAUUCUGUUGAAAGUGGUGAUAAAACCAGUAACAUGAACAUUUUACCUCAGGAGAACAGUGCCCAUCCUUCUCUUUCUUGCAAUGCAGUGGUAUGUUCUGGUUAUGAAGCAUCCAAAGAAGAAGUGACUCAGGGUGGCAAGGCAUCACCUACUGAUGAUUGUGCAUACCCUCAGUCAGGUUAUUUGGUGGCAAAUGGGAUAGGUAACCCAGUCUGAUACUCUUUUUCAUUCUUUUUCUAUGGACUCUCUCUCUCUCUCUCUCUCUCUCUCUCUCUCUCUCUCUCUCAUGCACAUGAAUAACAGGUCCAAACAUAACAUGCACGCAAUAAAAGCUACCAUUGUAGUGCAAUAAACUAUUAUCUUUGAUCAAGACUUACACAAGGGUCUUUAGGUGGUGAGUAGUUAUGCGCCAGGUCAUAUCCACGACAUGGAUAUUGGAGUCUUGAGCGCUAGGGCACAUAGACCACCAAGGAUGGUAGUGUAGCCCACUAAUGCACUUGGCUUCUUAUACUCAAGCCUUGACACCAACGAACAAGUCCACAACACACUUUGGAUUGAUCACCGCUUGUCAAGACAUGGGGCACUGCGAGGUAUCUCCAAGGUGUGGCCAAAGCACCCCCUCGGUUAGGUCAAUGAUUCUUUUCUUGGCCACAUCCACUCCACUUGGUAGGAGCAUGCUCAGUACCUUCUUGGCUUGAUCAAGUGACUCUCAACUAGGACAUGCACCCUUUAUGCCUCAUUCCAUCCCCAAUGGAUAUCUUCAGGACGCAACAUCUCUAAGUAUGACUUGACUUGACCCCGUCCCUUGGUUCGAUUGAGUGAAUUUCUCCACCCUAAAGCUAGGAUCUUAUGAGUUCUCCAAAAUGGCACCCUAAUGCUAUAUUUUUUGUUUGCCUAGGUCAGGAGCAAGACCUAGGGACCCCUUGGGGUUGGUGCCGUGACAUGGACACCUGAGUGUACCCAUGACCAAUGCAUGGGAUCAGUAGGGACUUGUGGAUUGACGAGUAGAGCUAAGGGUAUCGUCAAAUUUGCUUGGAUCAUACCCUUAAGGUGGCUCUACUUUGACCUAUCUUAGAGAAGAAAGAGAGGCCUCCAUAGGGAGUCAUCUUUUGACCGACGUGCAUGUGCUCCACCUUUCUCAUACUUGGUGAGCAUGCCAACACACUUGACACGCUGUCAGUGGCUUUACAACCCAUACCAUACUCCAUUUGUUAGGUGGGAUACAUGGGAUCCUACAUCCUCUUGUGCCCAUACUGCUCUAUAUAUAGGAAGUUUACUACUUCCACUGGCAUAUCAUCAACUUAAGAAGUCAUACCAUCUAUCUCCCUCUGGCUCAUUAAGAGACUUUACCUUCACUGCCACUCUCUCACACUCUCUAUUAAGGAUGCCUCAACUCUCCCCCUCUCCACCCUUGGUAGUUCUACACCAUCCGAGUGCCUAACAUAAUUCUUAGCAGACCCAUGGUCUGCCCAUGCAACCAAUGACCGUCUAGAAAGAAAGCAGGGAAGGGAAACGUACGAGAAGAGAGAGCAGCAAACAUACAUCCUUUAUUAUUAUUAUCAAAAUCAACCAACCAACCCAAAAAAAAAAAAAAUGUUUGGUGUUAGGUGUUAGG